CCCGCCUGGGAAGUACGUACGCAAGUAUGAAACUUAAAGGAAUUGGCGGGGGAGCACCACAAGGGGUGAAGCCUGCGGUUCAAUUGGAGUCAACGCCAGAAAUCUUUACCCGGAGAGACAGCAGAAUGAAGGUCAAGCUGAAGACUUUACCAGACAAGCUGAGAGGUGGUGCAUGGCCGUCGCCAGCUCGUGCCGUGAGAUGUCCUGUUAAGUCAGGUAACGAGCGAGAUCCUCGCCACUAGUUGCUAUCAUUAUUCUCAGGAAUAGUGGGGCGAAUUAGUGGGACUGCCGUUGUUAAAACGGAGGAAGGAGGGGGCUACGGCAGGUCAGUAUGCCCCGAAACUCUGGGGCCACACGCGGGCUGCAAUGGUAGCGACAAUGAGUUCCAAACUCGAAAGAGAGUGGCAAUCUCUAAACGCUACCACAGUUAUGACUGAGGGCUGUAACUCGCCCUCACGAAUAUGGAAUCCCUAGUAACCGCGUGUCAUUACCGCGCGGUGAAUACGUCCCUGCUCCUUGCACACACCGCCCGUCGUUUCAUCGAAGUUUGCUUUAG
rnacentral:rRNA from 1 species